CGGACGGCUGGCGCUGGGCAUCUGGGUCCCGGGAGGCUGAGCCCUGGCCAGCCCCCAAGCAGCUCCAUGCAGGUUCCCUGAGAGGAAGCAGAGUCUCCCUGGCUGAGCUGCCAGGCCACAGGCGAGUCCGCCCCACAUCCUUCCAUUUCCGUGGGAACAGAGAGGGUGCCCUGCGGUGACACUUUCACAGCUCCUCUGCGUGUGACCAAGGAACCGUGCAUCUCCAGGGGCCCAGAAGCCUCCUGCAGGCCCCUCUUGGACAUCACCAUCCUCAGACGGAAGGACUCUUCUGACACAGCAUCACCUUACCCGAGUCAUUUGUCAACGUUUUGAGAAUCCUCUGUGUUGCUCUUUCGGAGGCUCAAGAAUUAAGUAAUCCCCCCAACGUCAUAUGGUUAUGAACUGGAGCAGGAUUCAAACUCAAGACUCUCCCAACCCCUCCUAAUCCUUCCAUCUCCUGGCCCAGGGCCCCGAAAGAUGGUUGGAGACUCUGGUUCCCAUCCGGUGCACUGGGGGGCAGGGAGCCCUUGCCGGAGUUCUCUGCAUCCCCUGGGGAGCUGUUUUUUCUGUCAGCGGCUGCCCAGGUUCCCAGGACAGCUCCUGGCCAGAUGGGGAGAAGCAGCAGCAGCCGGCCAUUCUGUGCCCAAGGUGCGCGAGGGGAGCAAGAUGCAGAAAGCGCUGGCAGAGCGGUGGUUUGCUGCAUCCCUGAGGGUCGGCUGAUGACCGCUGGGUUACCAAAAUCUGGAUAUCAGGUUUUUUAUCAGCGUCGGAAGGGACCAGAGAGGGGAUGGGUACCUACACCAGACAGCGGAGCCUCUCAGGCAGUGCCUCUGCAUAGAGGAGGAAACCGAGGCUCAGGAAGGACCCCUGGAGCUCAUGACCAACACGGCAGCAGGAGACUCCAUCUCCUGGCACUCAGGCCGGGCCGCUCUCACCUCAGGGCUGCAGUGAGACGGCUGCUACCAGAAGACUCAGGAACGAAUCCAUGGUAUUUCCUCUCAGCUUGGGCAGAGGCUAGCACCCCCGGAGCACUGUUGGCCCGGAGCACUGGGGGACCGGCAGAGAGAAUGGCAACAAGAGGGCCCCCGGGGGUGGGGGUGGCCGCGGCCCCCAGCGUUCGCUACGAGAAAACACAGGCCGCGCCACUUCCUAGGAGACGUUUCAGGAAAACACCACCACGGCGGUCCAGCUCUUCCUGCCGUGGCCUGGCAGGGGACGUGCCUGGCGGAGACGCGUGGGGCCAGGAGCCCCGCCUCCACAUCAGUCACCUUGC